rnacentral:rRNA from 1 species
GGAGGGUGCAAGCGUUAUCCGGAUUCAUUGGGUUUAAAGGGUCCGUAGGCGGAUCUUUAAGUCAGUGGUGAAAUCCUGCAGCUCAACUGCAGAACUGCCAUUGAUACUGGGAGAUCUUGAGUGUAUUUGAAGUGGGCGGAAUGUGUCAUGUAGCGGUGAAAUGCAUAGAUAUGACACAGAACACCGAUUGCGAAGGCAGCUCACUAAACUACUACUGACGCUGAGGGACGAAAGCGUGGGGAGCGAACAGGAUUAGAUACCCUGGUAGUCCACGCCGUAAACGAUCAUCACUCGCUGUUGGCGAUACACAGUCAGCGGCCAAGCGAAAGCAUUAAGUGAUGCACCUGGGGAGUACGGUCGCAAAGAUUG